rnacentral:rRNA from 1 species
CAGCAGCCACGGUAAAACGGAGGGUGCAAGCGUUAAUCGGAAUUACUGGGCGUAAAGCGCACGCAGGCGGUCUGACAAGUCAGAUGUGAAAUCCCCGGGCUUAACCUGGGAACUGCAUUUGUGACUGUAUAGCUAGAGUACGGCAGAGGGGGAUGGAAUUCCGCGUGUAGCAGUGAAAUGCGUAGAUAUGCGGAGGAACACCGAUGGCGAAGGCAAUCCCCUGGGCCUGUACUGACGCUCAUGCACGAAAGCGUGGGGAGCAAACAGGAUUAGAUACCCCCGUAGUCCCUGUCUCUUAUAC